rnacentral:misc_RNA from 1 species
GAUGAAGAACGCAGCGAAAUGCGAUACGUAAUGUGAAUUGCAAAUUCAGUGAAUCAUCGAGUCUUUGAACGCACAUUGCGCCCCCUGGUAUUCCGGGGGGCAUGCCUGUCCGAGCGUCAUUGCUGCCUUCAAGCACGGCUUGUGUGUUGGGCCCCGUCCUCCGAUCCCGGGGGACGGGCCCGAAAGGCAGCGGCGGCACCGCGUCCGGUCCUCGAGCGUAUGGGGCUUUGUCACCCGCUCUGUAGGCCCGGCCGGCGCUUGCCGAUCAACCCAAAUUUUUAUCCAGGUUGACCUCGGAUCAGGUAGGGAUACCCGCUGAACUUAAGCAUAUCAAUAAGCGGAGGA